rnacentral:rRNA from 1 species
CAGCCGCCGCGGUAAUACGGAGGGUGCAAGCGUUAAUCGGAAUUACUGGGCGUAAAGCGCACGCAGGCGGUUUGUUAAGUCAGAUGUGAAAUCCCCGGGCUCAACCUGGGAACUGCAUUUGAAACUGGCAAGCUAGAGUCUCGUAGAGGGGGGUAGAAUUCCAGGUGUAGCGGUGAAAUGCGUAGAGAUCUGGAGGAAUACCGGUGGCGAAGGCGGCCCCCUGGACGAAGACUGACGCUCAGGUGCGAAAGCGUGGGGAGCAAACAGGAUUAGAUACCCCAGUAGUCCCUGUCUCUUAUAA